UCUCUUGCUUAUACAUAAAUUGAGCCAAGCAUGAUAGUACAGACCUGUAAUCUCAGUACUCUGGGAGGCUGAGGCAGGAGGAU
rnacentral:miRNA from 1 species